CCAAUCAGCAAUAAGCUUUAACAUCCAAUCAGCAAUAAGCUUUAACGUCCAAUCAGCAACAAGUUUUAACGUCUAAGCUUUAACGUCCAAUCAGCAACAAGCUUUAACAUCCAAUCAGCAACAAGCUUUAACAUCCAAUCAGCAACAAGCUUUAACAUCCAAUCAGCAGCGGGAUUCAAAAAGUAUCCAAUCAAGAUCCCGCAAGCAGCGCACGCAGCCCAUGGAGACCACAGGCGCCACUGAGAAGGGACAGGAGGCCGUUGGAGGAGCCGCCACCCCUCGGCCUAAGCCGACCAGGCCCGGUGCUCGAACAGCCGAACAGCCGGAGGUUCCUCAUCUGACCCCUGGGAGCGUCCUCCUGUCAGGCCGGCCGCACGGGGACCGGGACCGCAGCGAGCCACGGAGAAGCUGCAGCAGGCUGCGGUUGAGAGCCGCGCCCAUGCGCGUUUCUCCUAGUCUGGCGGUUACGAGGCGUUUAGUUUGCUUACAUUUAAUGUAAUUACUGCUGUGUUUGGAUUUCCCGUUAUUCCGAGCUUUCUGCUUAUACUGCCUAUUCUGUUUUGUGUUGUCUUCCAUCUCGCCUUAUUUGGGGGUUGCUUAAUUAUUUUUAAUUUCCUCUAACGGUUUGGAAAUCAUGAACUCUGAUUCUAUUAUUUUAGUGGUCACCUUAGAACCACCCCCACCCCACACACACUUUUUUUAAUCAAAAUCAGGAGUUAACCCAUACUUUCAUCCUCCGCUUGGAUCACACGAAGAGCCUAAACUGUUAAUUACGCUUACUCUCCUCCUGACUUGUGUUCAUGUGGUCAUACAUUAGAAUUCUCUCAUUUUAACCCCAUUAGUUGUUGUUGUUAUUAUUGUUAUUUUAUAGUCAAUGUUUCCUUAUCUUUACCCACCUCAGGUUUUCCCUCUGGGAUCAUUUUCCUUGUGCCAGAAGCACCUCCUUUAAAAUGGACAUGGAAUCUGAAGUUAGCAGUUGUUUUCUUUCAGUCCGUUGAAGGUCUGGUCACAACCGCCCUGUGGCUUCCACUGUCGCUGCUGCUGGCAAACCAGCUGCUCGUCUGGUUGUUGUUUCUUUGCUUCGAGAUGUUUCUUCCUUGUCUGGUAUUCUGCAGUUUCGCUGUAGACAUGGAUUUAGUUUUCAUCCAUCCUUUUUGGGAAUUACUGAACUUUCUGGAAUGCUGGCGAUGUUUCUAAGGUUGCCUUCAUUACUAGAACUUAGGAAGCCUGGCGGUGUUGGGGGUCUGUACUGAUAAUUCCAAUACCUGAGGUCUUGCAGGUGUGUUUUCGUGGUCUGUUAUUCUCAAUCACGGUGCCCUGCGUUCUUGUGGGAUUGACUCCCUUCUUUGACUGUGUGCUGUUUGUUACCCUUAGAGUUGUUUGUGGGAUUCCCUGAGGCCUAGGAUAGAAAUGACUUCCUUUAGCCCUGAGGUCCACCACUUAGGCAUGUGGGCAGACUACAGGUUUGGUGCACGUCAGCGUCAGAGCUCCAGGUUUCUUGGAAUGCCCUGGUGUGGCAAAUUUGGGCUUUAAGUCUGCCAAGCAUUUGCCGACUUUGGGACAUAUUUUCUCCUUUUCUCUUUUCUUGUUUCCUUUUUCUGAUUCACUAAGUACCAAAAGAAACAUUCUUGAUAGCUUCUUGUGGGUGAGAGGAAAGAAGCCGGCUCAUCCUAACCCUAAUUGUGUGGCUUCGGGAAGUCGAAGCGUAUGUGCUGGGAUCCUAACAAAUUCACAAACUUUGGGGGGUAGCUGAGUAUUAAUUUCUGUCCUCCCCAAUUCUGUGAAUCUAUCAAAACAGGCCUAAUUUUGGAGUCUGGGUUGUCCAAAGGUAAAAGGGACCUAAUGACUGGUUGAUUUUUUUGGAGGUCUUCCUUGUCCUUAGGCCCAGGCUUGGUCACACAUCCUGAUCUUGUCAACGCUGCCGUGCAUAUAAGAAAAUGAAAAAGAACAUUUUUAUAUAGCAUUUUGUAUUAUUUUCAGAGGAUGAUUGAUCUCAACAGUUUAUCCCAGCGUUGUUCAAUAGUAUGUUCUGUGGCGAUGGAAAUGGUUCUGUAUCUGAGCUUUCCAGUAUAGUAGUCCUGAAAUGUGGAUAACGCACCAGAGGGAUUAAAUGUUUAAUUUUGCUUGAUUUAAAAUUUACAUAGCCACACGUGGUUGGUGGCUACUGUAUUGGAUAGUGCAGCCCUAGGCCACUGACAGAGACCAGAGUGUCUUUAUUCUUUACAUUUCCUUUGGUUGAGGAGACACUCUUAGCCUCUAGCCCAGCUGCUAGAAUCUUGGGGAAGCACAGUGUUUUGUUUUGUUUUUUUUUUUUGUAUUUAUCUACAGUUCCUAUUUGUAUAUAAGGCUGUAUUCCUUGUAUAAUAAAGAAAAAUCAUUUUGAAUAUCACCAUGGUGAGUAGGUAGAAUGCUACUGCUUAAGACAAGUCAUGUCACAGGGAGGAGGGAGAAAUACUUGAUUUUUCCCUCCCUGAUUUUUAUGGCAACAAACUUUAAUACAAUAAACCGUAUAGUUUGCUUGGCAUCCCAAGGCCAAUCUCAACCACAUAAGCCCUGUACUUAGUCUUAGAGAAAUAUUUAUCUAGAGGAAUAAAAAAAAUGAGCAAAGCAAUAAAAACAUAUAUGGAGCAGUUUUCCACCUGGCUGCUGAAGUUCUCUUCCAGCCACACCCAGCUGGAUCCACACUGCUGGGAAUCUCUCCCUCCUCUCUUUCCCCACAGCACAUUGUUUAUGCCCAGGACAUGCAGAGCUGGAAGAUAGAAGAGUUUUAUGGACAUAAUUGCAUUGGCCUCGUGAUGUUUGCCUCUAAACUCCAUGCUAUUUCAUUUCCCAUUUGCCGCUUAUAAAUCUCUUUCACUCAUUAAGAGAACUACUGGGAACUUGCCAUCAGCUGAGCUCUGGAGAUAGCACGGUUUCCAGCAAAGACUUCACAGAAGGCAAACUUGGGAAGAGUGGUGCUCAAAUCAGUUCUUGGGUGUCCUGAAAGCUGGCUGCACCACACCCCUGGAACUCAGUGCACACCCAAAACAGGUGAUUCUAUGCCCACCAAAGUCUGCGAAUCGGCAGAAAAAAGAGAUUGAGAAAAAGUAGCCGAGGAGGUAGAGGAACCAAGUGGCCACGGCAUCCUAGAAACCAACAGAAGAGUCGCAGGAAGGAGAGUGUUGGUUUCCACCCUGUCAUAUGAUAUGACAAGAUAGACUGUCACUGAUAACCAGGAGGUCACCUGGUGCCUUAAGCACCCACUGCUUCAGCGGAAUGGGAAGAGGAUGGUACAGAAGGCAGAUCCUCGGCAACCAAAGAGAAGGCUCUAUUGACAUUAAACUAGACAAACAUUUGGAUCCUGCAGUCUCACCUCUUGGUGGCUACCCUGAUGUCACAUGAAACGCUUGCCCGUGUGCACAGAGAUGUGUGCAGUGAUGUUCUACCGAAGCACUAUUUGCAAUGAAGAAAACAGGUUUUAAAUGUCCAUCAGAUAGGAAAACUAAAUAACCCAGAUACUGUAUAUGCAUGUGAUGGAACUCUCGGCAGCGUUGAGACGAAUGAGGUGGGAGGCCCUUGAGAGAAAAAAAGUAAGUUGCAAUAAAGCUCUGUAUUUUCAGAGGCAUUCAAAUUUAAUGAUCAGAGAGUGAUUAAAGGAGCCGGCGUGUAGUGCAAGCGCCACAAAUGUUAGCUGUUAUUACACUGGGGGUGGUGGGCAAAAGAGACUUCAGUGUUACGUAGAGUGCCUGGAUUUUAAACCAUGAGACUGCGUUUUCAAUGUG